rnacentral:rRNA from 1 species
GAUGAACGCUGGCGGCGUGCCUAAUACAUGCAAGUCGAACGCUUCACAUAUGUGAAGAGUGGCGAACGGGUGAGUAAUACAUAAGUAACCUGGCCUUUACAGGGGGAUAACUGUUGGAAACGAUAGCUAAGACCGCAUAGGUGUCAUAACCGCAUGGAGAUGAUAUGAAAUAUGCUACGGCAUAGGUAGAGGAUGGACUUAUGGCGCAUUAGCUAGUUGGAGGGGUAACGGCCCACCAAGGCGACGAUGCGUAGCCGACCUGAGAGGGUGACCGGCCACACUGGGACUGAGACACGGCCCAGACUCCUACGGGAGGCAGCAGUAGGGAAUUUUCGGCAAUGGGGGAAACCCUGACCGAGCAACGCCGCGUGAAGGAAGAAGUAAUUCGUUAUGUAAACUUCUGUCAUAGAGGAAGAACGGUGCGUGUAGGGAAUGACAUGCAAGUGACGGUACUCUAUAAGAAAGCCACGGCUAACUACGUGCCAGCAGCCGCGGUAAUACGUAGGUGGCGAGCGUUAUCCGGAAUCAUUGGGCGUAAAGAGGGAGCAGGCGGCACUAAGGGUCUGUGGUGAAAGAUCGAAGCUUAACUUCGGUAAGCCAUGGAAACCGUAGAGCUAGAGUGUGUGAGAGGAUCGUGGAAUUCCAUGUGUAGCGGUGAAAUGCGUAGAUAUAUGGAGGAACACCAGUGGCGAAGGCGACGAUCUGGCGCAUAACUGACGCUCAGUCCCGAAAGCGUGGGGAGCAAAUAGGAUUAGAUACCCUAGUAGUCCACGCCGUAAACC